UUCCUGGAGGACUAGUGGUUAGGCCUCGGUGCUCUCACCGCUGCGUCCUGGGUUCGAUUCCUGGCCAGGGAA